UUUUAAUCUCUGACCAUCUACUUGAAGUCUUUUUCAAUUCUUCUUUUCCCCUGGUUGCUAUAUAAAUAUAUUUAUAUUUACUGUGCUGAUUUUCAUGAUGUUUUUUAAAAGUCAAAUUUAUUUCUACAGCUAGGUUGUACCUUAGUAGCAUCUCUGUCCCCUUACCAGUUCUACUUUCUGAAAUCCCUAAAAACUCCAGUUAUGCGUGGCUGCCAGCCCAGGUUAAUAAUAGCAAUGAACCAUAUUCAUCCAAACCACAAGACUGUCAGGUGACAUACUGAGAAGUCUGAAUUUAACUCAAACAAAAGACUCUCCACACUGCAAUGUAAAAUGCUUAAUCCUAGCAACACAAUGAGGCUAGGGGAUGGGGAAACCUUUAAAAAAAAAAACAGUCGUCUAAGGAUACUGGCAUUCAACACUGCUGACAAGUACAGCCUUCAGAGAAGCAGAAAAGCAAACUACAGGUGACACUACACGCCACCUGAAUUGGUGAAGAGAUGAACAACUAAUGGCAGUUCUAUAUUGCAUUCAUGUACACAAAUUUCACUACUAAAUAAAGCCUACAAGUUUGAAAAGUGCAGUAAAAGCUAUUA